AUUAAAGAAAAAUAUGCUAAUAACCAAUAAAAUGAAAUAUACUGCGAUGAAGUUGCAACUUGUCCAGGGUGUACGCCGCCUUCUGCUCGAUUGUAGCUGAGAUAGGCACCAGCGCCCCCCGCGGCCUCAAAGGGGAAUAAGCAGUAGAAAAUGGAUGGAUGGAUGGAUGUCACAUUUGGAAUGCAUGUUGGAUGCGCGUGUUGUCACCCCCUGAUGCACGAGGACCAGACAGGAAGGAUAGCAGUGCAUGUCUCUCAGCAGCCUCCUGGCCUUCUCCAGUGUGCUGUCAUCUAACCAUGCUCCUAAAGAGGCCGGAUCGGGCUCGAGAGGAGACCAGGAGGAAACUGCACUCUGUCCGGCAGCUGCCAUGAGGCCCUCCUGCUGAAAAUAACGCUACACGUUACAUUCAACCUCCGAGGUAGACUCAAUGAUGUCACUGCCCGGGCGCCGUCAGUGCGCAUUCAUGUGUGCGCUGCGCUGGGCGCACCUACGGGAGCGCGCCUGGCGUGUGCCAGUCCGGCUGCAGAAAACAGCUGCAAUCAAUCACCAGAAAUCAACACACCUGAAGCUGAUGAUGAGACCUGACUUCAUAAGCCUGCACAACCUGCUAUCCGGCGCCAGAACGUAGUUAUCUGUUCGUGUACACCUGCCUUCAUUCCCACGUUAUGAGCUGUGUGUCUCAUCUCCCCGCGUUCCCUCUGCUUCCCAGACUGCCUUUUGGAUCUCGACCUCCCGCCUGGACACGAACCUUUGACACUUCUCUCCUCCCCUCGACCUCACAUCUGCUCACGGAUAUCCGAGCCAGCCCAGACCCUCUUGGACUUCCGCAUGUUGCUCAACACUCCCGGUAACACUUAGCAGUUAAUUCCCACACAUAGUCGCACACCAUACGCUUUCGGAUUUAGUCAGACUCAAUUCCCUCGUGCAUUAUUUAUAUAUACAGUGUACAUAUGUUAAUAAAUAGAGUUAAUACGCCGUCCCUCCUAUCUGUGCCGUCUUCUUCCUUCCGUACAAAUAACAAAUGGAAGAAUUUAUUCUUACAUAUGUUUUCGAAGCAACGCCUCCAAACUCUUGAAGUUGCUGCUGCUGGGAGCCGAAACCUGAGUUCUGUGGGAGGUUGUAGCCCACUGGAACGCUUGGUUCUAGUUGGUUGGGGUCGUAAGACACAGUGGGCUCCUGCACGUGUGCCCAUUGCUCAUAGUCCAUGUCCGUGUAGCUGCUUGAUGCACCUGGAAAAGAAUGGCAGAAAAUAGGUGUCCCUCAUAUUGCAAGCUAAAACGUACACAAUUUAA